AGCGAACGCUGGCGGAAUGCUUUACACAUGCAAGUCGAACGGCAGCACGGACUUCGGUCUGGUGGCGAGUGGCGAACGGGUGAGUAAUACAUCGGAACGUGCCCAGUCGUGGGGGAUAACGUAGCGAAAGCUACGCUAAUACCGCAUACGAGCUAAGGAUGAAAGCGGGGGAGCGCAAGCCCUCGCGCGAUUGGAGCGGCCGAUGGCAGAUUAGGUAGUUGGUGGGGUAAAGGCCUACCAAGCCGACGAUCUGUAGCCGGUCUGAGAGGACGACCAGCCACACUGGGACUGAGACACGGCCCAGACUCCUACGGGAGGCAGCAGUGGGGAAUUUUGGACAAUGGGCGCAAGCCUGAUCCAGCCAUUCCGCGUGCAGGAUGAAGGCCCUCGGGUUGUAAACUGCUUUUGUACAGAACGAAAAGGCUCUGGUUAAUACCUGGGGCUCAUGACGGUACUGUAAGAAUAAGCACCGGCUAACUACGUGCCAGCAGCCGCCGUAAGAC
rnacentral:rRNA from 1 species